CGGCGACAAAGGCCCCCGGAAGCUCCUGGGAUUUAGGAAACGUAGACGAUGUUUGUAAUUGAAAAAAUACCCCAAAAAGCAUGGACUCAUCGCAGUUAAGAUCUUGAAAAAAUAAUCAUAGGUUUAUUUUAGUUUCAUGGUUUGACAAGUCGGCUUCUUUCAUUGUUCCAAUAUCGGGAUAUGGAGGAUCACAUGACGAUUUUGUCGAACUUAGACUAGAAGUGCUUGCUGUAGGACUUUCAGAAAAAGAGCUGGAACAUGGCUCAGCUUCCUGUGGUGGUUUAGUAACACUCCGUUUAAAAUAUUCAUCAAUCUUCUUCAUUUUGUAAUUUGAUCGGUUUCACAACUUGCCGGAACAAUAAUAGAGAAAAACAUGCCGUAACGACAACGGUUUAGACCCGGAAAGGUGUAAC